AUUGAACGCUGGCGGCAUGCCUUACACAUGCAAGUCGAACGGCAGCACGGGUGCUUGCACCUGGUGGCGAGUGGCGAACGGGUGAGUAAUAUAUCGGAACGUACCUUAUUGUGGGGGAUAACGCAGCGAAAGCUGUGCUAAUACCGCAUAAUCCCUAAGGGGGAAAGCGGGGGACCGUAAGGCCUCGCGCAAUUAGAGCGGCCGAUACCUGAUUAGCUAGUUGGUGAGGUAAAGGCUCACCAAGGCAACGAUCAGUAGCUGGUCUGAGAGGACGAUCAGGCGCACUGGGACUGAGACACGGGCACGACUCCUACGGGAGGCAGCAGUGGGGAAUUUUGGACAAUGGGGGCAACCCUGUUCCAGCAAGGCCGCGUGAGUGAAGAAGGCCUUCGGGUUGUAAAGCUCUUUUGUCAGGGAAGAAACAGCAGCUCUAACACAGUUUGCGAAUGACGGUACCUGAAGAAUAAGCACCGGCUAACUACGUGCCAGCAGCCGCCGCCG
rnacentral:rRNA from 1 species